rnacentral:lncRNA from 1 species
CCUUCAGAUGGAUCUGUCUUAGCUUGAGCUGUGGCUCUCUCCGCAAAAAGCAACAAAGAGAGGAUGAAGAGCAACCGAAAGGCUUGGGACUGGGUGUUGGUUGGAGAUCUUGACACCGCCAUCUUCCCUCCCUUUGAUGGAGAAAACUCAACCUAACCCCUGCAGAGGCUCUUGCUGGCAUCAUGUCCUGUUUCUUAUAAGAAGGUGGGGGAAAGGUUCUACCUCAC